CUGUUUUUCUCUUCUUCUUUUUUGAAACGUGACUUUUCUGUUUUCUCUUCUUAUUCUCUCUCUUACGCUUUCUUCCUCUGUAACAAACUUACACUUUCUCUCUCUGUAACAAACUCAGGGCAUAUUGAUUUCCACACUUUCUUCUGUUAAUAGUUCGAUAUACAAGGUGCCCUGGUCUAAUUAUGGAAACUGAGACUUUGUUUAAAGAUGCUCUUGCAGGAAUAUUCAGUGCCAAACUGGAAUUGCGGAAGAUAGCUCAGAGACUGAGCCGACAUGAUAGAACUAUCCUUCAUAUUGCAUCUAAGGAUGGAAGUUUAGAGCAAGUGCGAUACAUUCUAAAGGAAUUUGCCGACAACAAUAUUUUAAUGAAGUUGGAUUCCAAUCAAGAAACCGCACUUCACCUUGCAGCAUUUUAUGGACACACUGAAGUGGUUAAGCUCCUCAUCGAAGCAGCCCAAUGUUUGUUGCCUGCUUCAGGUGAUGUUAGCUUUGAAACUUUUGUGAGGCAACCUAAUACAAGUAGGAACACUGCCUUACACCUAGCUGUGGCCAAUGGUAGCCUGGGUUGUGCUAGACUGUUAGUAGAGGCAGAUAAAGAGGAUCGGCAUAUCCCAAACUGUCAAGGUGAACCUCCGGUCUACCUAGCUGCCAAAUUGGGGUAUAACAAAAUCGUUAAGAUGAUCUGUGAAACUUGCACAGCUCCAAGUUUAUCUGGUCCUGAUGAUGGUUCGACUGCGUUACAUGCUGCUAUUAAGAUGCUCCCUCGAGCAAAAACAGAAGACAGAGACGUGGUUGAGGUACUGAUUGGUGCAGUCAGACGUUCAAUUUCUUCAUCAAAUAUUGAAGCUUUUGUUAGACAAUCUGAUGCAAACGAGGAAACUGCCUUGCACCUGGCAGUGCAAGGAAAGCACUUGGAUGUGGUCCGGCUAAUAUUAGAGGUAGAUCGCAGAUAUCCGCAUGAAGAUAGAAAUAAGGACUUGAAGAGUCCAAUCUACAUAGCAGCCGAACAAGGGUCAAAGUCUAUAGUGAAAUUACUCUGUGGAACUUCGGAAUUUGGAUACACGACAUUGGGUCCUGAAGAUGAAACGGCUUUGCAUGCUGCUAUCUUAGGAAGCAAUGCAGAAUGCGUAAGAUCUGUCUUGGAUAGAGCCCCGUAUCUUGUAUCCUAUGUUGACAAAAAGGGCGGACACCGCUGCAUUAUGCAGCAUUUCAUAAAUUUGAUUCGGUACUUGCGGGUAUAAUAGAGAAGCAAAAGUUAGUCGGAUACCAAUCUGUGUACGGAUAUCAGGUGCCGACUCCACUUUGUGUAGCAGCUACAGAAGGACAUAUUUCUACUGUGAAACAACUUAUGACAUUGUUGCCUUGGUCAUGUUCCCAAGCUAAUCACCAGGGUCAAAACAUACUGCACAUUGCAGCAUUUAAUAGAAACAAAGAGAUGGUACGGUGUAUUUUGAAAUAUUGUCCAAAAGAUUGCAUUAACAAAAUUAUAAAUGAUAAGGAUGAAAAUGGCGACACGCCCCUUCAUUUGCUUAUAAGCCAGGGUUGCUUUGUUCCCGAACUCAUAAAUCACAAGGAAGCUGAUACCUUGGCAAGGAACAAUCAAAACUGGACUCCUUUCGACAUGUUAUACUCCCAGGACAGAGUCAAAGGCGACCAGUUACAAAUAAAAAAAGCCGUGGAUGGUGUCCAAGCUGAUCAUAAGAACCGGAGUAGAAGCAGUUUGAAGGGAAAGUCUUAUCCGGAAGAAAGUGACAUUGAAGAUAAUCAACAACCGAUGCAAGAUAAUCAAAAAUGGACAUUCUGGCGUAAUAGCAGACAGGUAAAGCUGAAAACCGAGGAAAGUCUGGUUCCCCCAAUUAUCAGGUCAAGAAAAGAAGCAAAAUUUAAGAGAGCUAAGAAAAGGGUAAUGAAAGAAGAGCUUGAAGUUUACCGGACACGGACCAACACUCAAAUUAUAGUUACUGCGCUGAUAACUACAGUAACUUUCACUGUUGGAUUUACAUUGCCGGGGGGUUACCAUCAAAGUGGGGAAGAUGACCAAGGUUUAGCUGUUCUCUCGAAAAAGUCACUUUUUACUGCCUUCAUGGUAACAGAUGCCGUGGCUCUGUUAUUAUCAACGUCUUCUUUAUUUCUUUACUUCAUCUCAACAAUGUAUCAAACUCCCCACAGAGUGUCACAACUAAAUGCUGCAUCAACCGGACUCAACAUUAUUUCUAUAAUCACAAUGAUGUUGACCUUUUUGACAGGAUCAUAUCUGGUGCUAUCUGACUCACCCGCCCUUGCCGUUAGUGUUUGUGUUAUCAUUUGUCUUUUCUUUCUUCUCGUUAUUGUAUUAUCGAUCCUGAUGUUAUAUGACCGGAAAAAGGAGAAGGAUGAUGAAGUGUGAGUAUGUUGGCUAUUGUUUUUAACUCUUUAAUGUACUUCUAGUUUUCAAGGUUUAAAUAAAUUUAUUAUUUGUGAGAA